rnacentral:rRNA from 1 species
GACGAACGCUGGCGGCGUGCUUAACACAUGCAAGUCGAACGGAAAGGCCCUGCUUUUGUGGGGUGCUCGAGUGGCGAACGGGUGAGUAACACGUGAGUAACCUGCCCUUGACUUUGGGAUAACUUCAGGAAACUGGGGCUAAUACCGGAUAGGAGCUCCUGCUGCAUGGUGGGGGUUGGAAAGUUUCGGCGGUUGGGGAUGGACUCGCGGCUUAUCAGCUUGUUGGUGGGGUAGUGGCUUACCAAGGCUUUGACGGGUAGCCGGCCUGAGAGGGUGACCGGCCACAUUGGGACUGAGAUACGGCCCAGACUCCUACGGGAGGCAGCAGUGGGGAAUAUUGCACAAUGGGCGGACGCCUGAUGCAGCAACGCCGCGUGCGGGAUGACGGCCUUCGGGUUAUAAACCGCUUUCGCCUGUGACGAAGCGUGAGUGACGGUAAUGGGUAAAGAAGCACCGGCUAACUACGUG